UGUGCGUCACCCGCCCUCGCCCGGGUUUUGUGAAGUUGCCCUGACGUGGCGGUGGCUUCGUGGCAGUCGGUCAGCCCCGGCGCCGGUCACUGCGCGGUCGCCGCUAGGCCCGCUAAGGUCGCUCCGGGGUCUGCAAAAGCGGGCGGCGUCCCCGUCUUCCUCUCGGCUUGGGCCCGCGGAGGCCGACCCUUCGCCGGGCCCCUCCGGGGUUCCCCGGCGCUCGCGGGUAUAAUUAUGCGAGGAACUGCGCGGCCGGAAGCGGCCCGGCCCUACCCGCUGCCGGCGGGCUCCGGGACCCCCGGGCUGAGUCCAGAGGGGCCCGGGGCCUGGCUGCUCGCGCGCUGCUCCGCGGGGUCGUGGGCCGCUUUGUUUGGGAGCCAGGAGCUGAUGGGGGUAAAGAAGAGCAAUCCAGUGAUAAGGAAAUUGAGUAGGAUUUUUCUAACUUCUUUUUUAGUAAUGUGAUUGGGUGCAAGACACUUCUAAGCAUUGUGGGAGUUGAAAAAAAGAAUUAUAACUAGUCAGAUAAAACUGAGGGAAAUACAUUGAAUUUGGGGGAAAGCAUGCAACCUUAAGGACGCAGUACAUGCUUCGUUCUAGAAAAAAUGGGAUUCCGAGGAAGAAGCCUAUGGGUUCUUGAAGGCUUAAGAGAGGGGUGAGAACUGAGGAAAAGAGGAAGAUGGGGUGGAUGAAAAGGGAAGGAAGGAACUCUUGGUGAGAUGAAGCAGGGUUGAUCUAGUUGGGCCAGUUAUAUUUCAUCACAUAAAGAAUUGUACCAGCAAGCUUUCGUAAAGAAUGAAAUUGAGAUGGAAGGGAAGAAAUGGAGGAUAUCUAACAUUAAAUUGGAUGGGACCUUUCAAGCCAUUCCAUGAUGUUUUCUGAGAAGCAAACGGAUGAUCCGAGUGGCUGAGAUACGCAAACAAAGCCAAUGUGCGGCUUCGUUCAUUUAUUCAUUCUUUGUGUUAAAUAUUCAAAUUGUUUAACACUUGACAGUUCUGCAAAAGCCUGUGGCUGGUGCAAGAGGCCUUCCAGUAAAGAGGCUUCUGAAAUAGGUACCGUCGUUCCCAUCUGAGAGCUAAGGAAACAGUUCUGGAAGCCAAGGAACCGCUUGGUUACUCCGCCUCCAGAAGACACCACCACCUCCUCUUUUCCUUGGCAUUGAAGGGUUUCAGGACAGCACCCCACCCCCACGCCCAAUGUGCCACUUGGCAUAUGGAUUAUUCUGAGCUGAAGGCACUUGAGAUCCUGAGAGUGCAAAAGAAAACUUUUGUCCCUCUUCAAUCACAUAGAAGAAUCUAAAUUGAGAGUCUUUCCAGAAAAAGCAUUAUUAGCAGAGAUAAAUCUUAUCUGAGUGACCCACCUGUAUUGCAGGGCAGACAUCUAAUUACCAAACAUCUGUUCUCCUGUCCAUUAAGUGUUUUCCUUUCCAGUGAAGUUCCAGGUCCCAACCCCUUCUUAGUUCGGGAUGACGUAUAGAUCUCAUUUUGCCUGUCUUUGUAGUUUCCAUGUCUGUAUGGAUUCCCUGUACCUACACUAUUAAAUUUAUCCUAUUUAUCUA